UACGUAGGGUGCGAGCGUUGUCCGGAAUUAUUGGGCGUAAAGGGCUCGUAGGCGGUUUGUCGCGUCGGGAGUGAAAUCCACUGGCUUAACUGGUGGCUUGCUUUCGAUACGGGCAGACUGGAGGUAUGCAGGGGAGAACGGAAUUCCUGGUGUAGCGGUGAAAUGCGCAGAUAUCAGGAAGAACACCAUGCGGAAGGCAGCUCUCUGGGACGGUACUGACGCUGAGACGCGAAAGCGUGGGGAGCGAACAGG
rnacentral:rRNA from 1 species